GGUGAACGCUGGCGGUAGGCCUAACACAUGCAAGUCGAACGGCAGCACAGGAGAGCUUGCUCUCUGGGUGGCGAGUGGCGGACGGGUGAGGAAUACAUCGGAAUCUACCUUGUCGUGGGGGAUAACGUAGGGAAACUUACGCUAAUACCGCAUACGACCUUCGGGUGAAAGUGGGGGACCGCAAGGCCUCACGCGAUUAG
rnacentral:rRNA from 1 species